CAAACAGAUGCGCUAGACGGUUGCAUUUCGAAUUUUGUAAGUGUUGAUUUAUCCGUUGCUCCUGUCCAUGGUGGCGUUUUUGUUUCCAAAAUGUUGGAUCUUUCAUUUAAAAUUAUACUUUGAAAUUGUGUAUAUAUUGUUCAAAAUGUGAUAGUGUUUUUUAUUGAUUUACUAUAAAAUUGCUAAUUUUUGCAGUGUACCUACAUCAACUACAUCCGUAACUGCCCUGGAAGUUUUUUUGUUUUCACGCGUUCACUGGGUCAGAUGUGACUUCAUCAUUUUCAACAAAAGGACCUUGUUGUAUGCUCGGAUGAAAGAAGCUUCACGCAGGAGUUAUCUCUGUUAGGCCUCACUUGAAAAUUGUAUUUUGAGGGCAGCCAACUACAUUACUAUCAAAGUCAAGACCGACGAUUGGCAGAAACAGCGAGGGAAAGGAGGCCCUUUGACAAAAAUGACUAUUAUGUCGGAUUCGACGAAGGACGUCGUGGCCAGCUGCGAGAAGAACCUCGAGAGGGCCUUGCAAAUCCAGUUGGAAGCCUAUCGGGAUGGCGAUAUCUCCUUGGGGGAUACCAUGUCGACGACGAUAGCUCUCCUGUUGGAAGCUCAGACGGAGAGGGCCAGGGCGGUCAAGAGGACGAGCGGGUCCUCGGGCGGUAGUCUCGGAGUAGGCAGCGCAACGCCUGCAAAUUCAUCCGCGCAAGACGGGCCCGUCGCUGCGUCAACGCCCAAGAAGAAGGCUAGAGGGGAAGCCGAGAAGACCGUUUCGGACCGAGAGGAGGACGAGUCACCCGUCGUGGAAGGGGAGGCGACGGAACAAAUCUGA
rnacentral:lncRNA from 1 species